CCUACGGGAGACAGCAGUGAGGAAUAUUGGUCAAUGGACGAGAGUCUGAACCAGCCAAGUAGCGUGAAGGAUGACUGCCCUAUGGGUUGUAAACUUCUUUUAUAUGGGAAUAAAACGUUCCACGUGUGGGAUUUUGUAUGUACCAUAUGAAUAAGGAUCGGCUAACUCCGUGCCAGCAGCCGCGGUAAUACGGAGGAUCCGAGCGUUAUCCGGAUUUAUUGGGUUUAAAGGGAGCGUAGGUGGAUUGUUAAGUCAGUUGUGAAAGUUUGCGGCUCAACCGUAAAAUUGCAGUUGAAACUGGCAGUCUUGAGUACAGUAGAGGUGGGCGGAAUUCGUGGUGUAGCGGUGAAAUGCUUAGAUAUCACGAAGAACGCCGAUUGCGAAGGCAGUUCACUGGACUGCAACUGACACUGAGGCUCGAAAGUGUGGGUAUCAAACAGGAUUAGAUACCCUAGUAGUC
rnacentral:rRNA from 1 species